rnacentral:tRNA from 1 species
UCCUUGGUAGUCCAGUGGCUAAGACUCCAUGUUCCUAAAGCAGGGACCUAGGUUUGAUUCCUGGUCAAGGAA